GCCGGGUGCAAUGGCACACGCCUGUAGUCCCAGCUACUCAGGAGGCUGAGGCAGGAGGAUCACUUGAGUCCAGGAGUUCUGGGCUGUAGUGCGCUAGGCCGAUCGAGUAUCCGCACUAAGUUCAGCAUCAGUAUGGUGACCUCCUGGGGGCAGGGGACCACCAGGUUGCCUAAGAAGGGGUGAACUGGCUCAGGUUGGAAACAGAGCAGGUCAAAACUCCCAUGCUGAUCAAAUACAGAUCCUAUGACCUCCCAACAGCUGCACAAAAUGGUGAGAGAGGUGCCUUU
rnacentral:SRP_RNA from 1 species